GACGACGCUGGCGGCGUGCUUAACACAUGCAAGUCGAACGGUAAGGCCCUUCGGGGUACACGAGUGGCGAACGGGUGAGUAACACGUGAGUAACCUGCCCUUGACUCUGGGAUAACAGUUGGAAACAGCUGCUAAUACCGGAUACGAACUUGGAAGGCAUCUUCCGAGUUGGAAAGCUCCGGCGGUCAAGGAUGGACUCGCGGCCUAUCAGCUUGUUGGUGAGGUAACGGCUCACCAAGGCUUCGACGGGUAGCCGGCCUGAGAGGGCGACCGGCCACACUGGGACUGAGAUACGGCCCAGACUCCUACGGGAGGCAGCAGUGGGGAAUAUUGCACAAUGGGCGAAAGCCUGAUGCAGCAACGCCGCGUGCGGGAUGACGGCCUUCGGGUUGUAAACCGCUUUCAGCAGGGACGAAGCGAAAGUGACGGUACCUGCAGAAGAAGCACCGGCCAACUACGUG
rnacentral:rRNA from 1 species